rnacentral:rRNA from 1 species
AUUGAACGCUGGCGGCAGGCCUAACACAUGCAAGUCGAGCGAGCGGCGGACGGGUGAGUAAUGUAUGGGGACUGCCCGAUAGAGGGGGAUAACUACUGGAAACGGUGGCUAAUACCGCAUACUAUCGGAUAACCCAUAUGGGAUUAGCUAGUAGGUGGGGUAAAGGCUCACCUAGGCGACGAUCUCUAGCUGGUCUGAGAGGAUGAUCAUCCACAAUGGGGUUGAGACACGGCCCAGACUCGUACGGAGGAAACAUAGGGGAAUAUUGCCCAUUGAGCUCAAGCCUGAGGCAGCCAUGCCACGUGUAUGAAUAAGGCCUUAGGGUUGUAAAGUACUUUCAGCGGGGAGGCGUUACCCGCAGGAGAAGCACAGGCUAACUCCGUGCCAGCAGCCGCGGUAAUAC